rnacentral:rRNA from 1 species
AUUGAACGCUGGCGGCAUGCCUUACACAUGCAAGUCGAACGGCAGCACGGAGCUUGCUCUGGUGGCGAGUGGCGAACGGGUGAGUAAUAUAUCGGAACGUACCCAAGAGUGGGGGAUAACGUAGCGAAAGUUACGCUAAUACCGCAUACGAUCUAAGGAUGAAAGCAGGGGACCGCAAGGCCUUGUGCUCCUGGAGCGGCCGAUAUCUGAUUAGCUAGUUGGUGGGGUAAAGGCCCACCAAGGCAUCGAUCAGUAGCUGGUCUGAGAGGACGACCAGCCACACUGGAACUGAGACACGGUCCAGACUCCUACGGGAGGCAGCAGUGGGGAAUUUUGGACAAUGGGGGCAACCCUGAUCCAGCAAUGCCGCGUGAGUGAAGAAGGCCUUCGGGUUGUAAAGCUCUUUUGUCAGGGAAGAAAAGGCUGUGGCUAAUAUCCACGGCUCAUGACGGUACCUGAAGAAUAAGCACCGGCUAACUACGUGCCAGCCGCCGCAGUAAAAC